AGAGUUUGAUCAUGGCUCAGGACGAACGCUGGCGGCGUGCUUAACACAUGCAAGUGGAGCGACGAACCGGGCUUCGGCCCGGGGCAAAGCCGCGAACGGGUGAGUAUCACGUGGGUAACCUGCCCCGAUGACCGGGACAACCCGAGGAAACUCGGGCUAAUACCGGAUGUGCUCCCAAUCCACAGGGUUGGGAACAAAGGAAGCUUCGGCCUCCGCAUUGGGAUGGGCCCGCGGCCCAUUAGCUUGUUGGUGAGGUAAUGGCUCACCAAGGCGACGAUGGGUAGCUGGUCUGAGAGGACGAUCAGCCACACUGGGACUGAGACACGGCCCAGACUCCUACGGGAGGCAGCAGUGGGGAAUCUUGCGCAAUGCGCGAAAGCGUGACGCAGCAACGCCGCGUGAGGGAAGAAGGCCUUCGGGUUGUAAACCUCUUUCAGGAGGGACGAAGGUUCAGGCGCGAACAGCGUCCUGGACUGACGGUACCUCCAGAAGAAGCCCCGGCUAACUACGUGCCAGCAGCCGCGGUAAUACGUAGGGGGCUAGCGUUGUCCGGAAUCAUUGGGCGUAAAGCGCGCGUAGGCGGCCCGGUAAGUCCGCUGUGAAAGUCAAAGGCUCAACCUUUGAAUGUCAGCGGAUACUGCCGGGCUAGAGUCCGGAAGAGGCGAGUGGAAUUCCUGGUGUAGCGGUGGAAUGCGCAGAUAUCAGGAGGAACACCAACGGCGAAGGCAGCUAGCUGGGACGGUACUGACGCUGAGGCGCGAAAGCGUGGGGAGCGAACAGGAUUAGAUACCCUAGUAGUCC
rnacentral:rRNA from 1 species